rnacentral:rRNA from 1 species
CACGGGGGGCCUACGGGAGGCAGCAGUGGGGAAUUUUGGACAAUGGGCGCAAGCCUGAUCCAGCCAUUCCGCGUGAGUGAAGAAGGCCUUCGGGUUGUAAAGCUCUUUCGCGAGGGAAGAAAACUUAACUACUAACAUUAGUUGAGGCUGACGGUACCUUGAUAAGAAGCACCGGCUAACUACGUGCCAGCAGCCGCGGUAAUA